rnacentral:rRNA from 1 species
CGUGGUAUUUUGACUAUACGAAGGUAUUGAAAUAAGGCUUUAAUUGGGUGCUAAGAGAAUGGUUUAACAGGGAUUAUCUUUUUUCUUAAUUUAAUUGGAAGUUAAUUUGAAAGUGAAGAAGCUUUUAUGAGGAUUUGGGACAAGAAGACCCUAUGAAUUUUUUAGAAGGUUAUUUUUUGUAUUUGUUUGGAAGGUGAGAUUUGAGUGACCUUUGAUUAAUUGGGGCGAUUUUUCCAUUUAGGUAACUUUAAAAGUAUUUCAUUGGAUCCAGUAUUAUUGAUAGAUUGAAUAAAAUACUCUACGGGAUAACAGCGUUAUUACUUUGGAUAGUUCAUACUCGAUAAAGUAGAUUGCGACCUCGAUGUUGGAUUAGGAUACCUUUAGCUAAUGGAGAAGUGGGGGUUUGCUCAACCUUUAAAUUCCUACAUGAUCUGAG